rnacentral:tRNA from 1 species
AGGGAUAUAGCUCAGUUGGUAGAGUGCUUGCCUCAUAUGCACAAGGCCCUGGGUUAAAUCCCCAGAACCACCA